rnacentral:rRNA from 1 species
GAUGAACGCUGGCGGCGUGCCUAAUACAUGCAAGUCGAGCGAACAGAUGAGGAGCUUGCUCCUCUGACGUUAGCGGCGGACGGGUGAGUAACACGUGGAUAACCUACCUAUAAGACUGGGAUAACUUCGGGAAACCGGAGCUAAUACCGGAUAAUAUAUUGAACCGCAUGGUCAAUAGUGAAAGACGGUUUUGCUGUCACUUAUAGAUGGAUCCGCGCCGCAUUAGCUAGUUGGUAAGGUAACGGCUUACCAAGGCGACGAUGCGUAGCCGACCUGAGAGGGUGAUCGGCCACACUGGAACUGAGACACGGUCCAGACUCCUACGGGAGGCAGCAGUAGGGAAUCUUCCGCAAUGGGCGAAAGCCUGACGGAGCAACGCCGCGUGAGUGAUGAAGGUCUUCGGAUCGUAAAACUCUGUUAUUAGGGAAGAACAAAUGUGUAAGUAACUAUGCACGUCUUGACGGUACCUAAUCAGAAAGCCACGGCUAACUACGUG